UACGUAGGGGGCGAGCGUUGUCCGGAAUCAUUGGGCGUAAAGCGCGUGUAGGCGGCUCGAUAAGUCCGGUGUGAAACCUUGGGGCUCAACCCCAAGCCUGCACUGGAUACUGCCGAGCUAGAGUCCGGGAGGGGAGAGCGGAAUUCCUAGUGUAGCGGUGAAAUGCGCAGAUAUCAGGAGGAACACCGGUGGCGAAGGCGGGUCUCUGGGCCGAUACUGACGCUGAGGAGCGAAAGCGUGGGGAGCAAACAGG
rnacentral:rRNA from 1 species